rnacentral:rRNA from 1 species
GACGAACGCUGGCGGCGUGCUUAACACAUGCAAGUCGAACGGAAAGGCCCUGCUUUUGGGGGGUGCUCGAGUGGCGAACGGGGGAGUAACACGUGAGUAACCUGCCCUUGACUUUGGGAUAACUUCAGGAAACUGGGGCUAAUACCGGAUAGGAGCUCCUGCUGCAUUGUGGGGUUUGGAAAGUUUCGGCGGUUGGGGAUGGACUCGCGGCUUAUCAGCUUGUUGGUGGGGUAGUGGCUUACUAAUGCUUUGACGGGUAGCCGGCCUGAGAGGGUGACCGGCCACAUUGGGACUGAGAUACGGCCCAGACUGCUACGGGAGGCAGCGGUGGGGAAUAUUACACAAUGGGCGGAAGCCUGAUGCAGCAACGCCGCGUGCGGGAUGACGGCCUUCGGGUUGUAAACCGCUUUCGCCUGUGACGAAGCGUGAGUGACGGUAAUAGGUAAAGAAGCACCGGCUAACUACGUG